rnacentral:rRNA from 1 species
UACGGAGGGAGCUAGCGUUAUUCGGAAUUACUGGGCGUAAAGCGCACGUAGGCGGCUUUGUAAGUCAGAGGUGAAAGCCCGGAGCUCAACUCCGGAACUGCCUUUUAGACUGCAUCGCUUGAAUCCAGGAGAGGUGAGUGGAAUUCCGAGUGUAGAGGUGAAAUUCGUAGAUAUUCGGAAGAACACCAGUGGCGAAGGCGGCUCACUGGACUGGUAUUGACGCUGAGGUGCGAAAGCGUGGGGAGCAAACAGG